GUGCUUAAGUGAAUUACUGGUAAAUGUGUUUUGGUGCUUCGUGGUUAUGCUUCGUGGUUGUGCUUCGUGGUUGUUAAGCUUUGUGUCUUUGGUAUGCUGCGGCUUACCCGUACUUUGGGAAUAGUACGUCGGUCCCUAGUACGUGGAUUUAUGAUUUGAUACCAGUCAACCUGGUUUUCUCGUGUUUUGGGUAUAGUACGUCGGACCCUAACACGUGGAUUUGUGAUUUGUUACCAGUUAAUCCGAAAAUUCACUAAAAAGAGAAGUGUACUUAUAUUAUUUUGAUCAAAUAUCUAUCUAUGAUAUAUUUUGAAUAUGUGAAGGUGUUAGUAA
rnacentral:lncRNA from 1 species